CAGGCAAAUGCCUAGGGAAACUACAACAUGGAUAUCCUUAUGUCGCAGGUUCGAGUCCUGUCUCUGUUGUUUCAAAUAGCAGAGUAGCUCAGUUGGUAGAGCCAAGGCAUGUUUCCCUUAAAAACUUGUUGCGUGCCA
rnacentral:Y_RNA from 1 species